UACGUAGGGUCCGCGCGUUGUCCGGAAUUAUUGGGCGUAAAGAGCUCGUAGGCGGUCUGUCGCGUCGGACGUGAAAACCCAGGGCUCAACCCUGGGCCUGCGUUCGAUACGGGCAGACUAGAGUUCGGUAGGGGAGACUGGAAUUCCUGGUGUAGCGGUGAAAUGCGCAGAUAUCAGGAGGAACACCGGUGGCGAAGGCGGGUCUCUGGGCCGAAACUGACGCUGAGGAGCGAAAGCGUGGGGAGCGAACAGG
rnacentral:rRNA from 1 species